GUCAGACUUUUUAUGUGAGAUUUUUUUCUCUCUGCGAGAGAAGAUGAACAGUUCUUCGUGAAGAUAAACAGCUCUUCGUGAAUAAGUAGUAAUUUAAUGGGGGAUUCACAACAAGGAAAUAACAAAGGAAAGGGCAAAGAGUGUCGUUCUUAUGAAUUUCCAAUUGAACCAGUGGACGAAUCUUCUUCAUCUUCAGUAUUACCAGUUAAUGAAGAAGAGAAUUUGGAACCUAUUGUUCAAACCCAAGAGCAGCAACGAGAAAAUGCUAAUGCAUGGAGAGCUACCAUAGCUUUAGAUAUGUGGAGAAAUGCUACUUAGGAGGACAUGAAGCUACAUCAAAUUGGCUAUUAAAAGAUUGGGAAAACUUUAUUGAAUUUUACUUUUCUUUGUUAAAAUUGUGUUUCUUUGUUAUCUUUUUCAUUGACUCUUGUAACUUUGAAUGUUUGCUUUUAUUUAUUGUUCCAUUCCAUUUGAUCCCGUUUAUGUUAUUGCUGAUGCAAGUGCCCACAA